AACGAACGCUGGCGGCAUGCCUAACACAUGCAAGUCGAACGAGACCUUCGGGUCUAGUGGCGCACGGGUGCGUAACGCGUGGGAACCUGCCCUUAGGUUCGGAAUAACUCCCCGAAAGGGGUGCUAAUACCGGAUAAUGUCUUCGGACCAAAGAUUUAUCGCCUUUGGAUGGGCCCGCGUUGGAUUAGUUAGUUGGUAGGGUAAAAGCCUACCAAGGCGACGAUCCAUAGCUGGUCUGAGAGGAUGAUCAGCCACACUGGGACUGAGACACGGCCCAGACUCCUACGGGAGGCAGCAGUGGGGAAUAUUGGACAAUGGGCGAAAGCCUGAUCCAGCAAUGCCGCGUGAGUGAUGAAGGCCUUAGGGUUGUAAAGCUCUUUUACCCGGGAUGAUAACGACAGUACCGGGAGAAUAAGCUCCGGCUAACUCCGUG
rnacentral:rRNA from 1 species